rnacentral:rRNA from 1 species
AUUGAACGCUGGCGGAAUGCUUUACACAUGCAAGUCGAACGGCAGCACGGACUUCGGUCUGGUGGCGAGUGGCGAACGGGUGAGUAAUGUAUCGGAACGUGCCCAGUCGUGGGGGAUAACGUAGUGAAAAUUACGCUAAUACCGCAUACGAUCUAUGGAUGAAAGCGGGGGAUCGCAAGACCUCGCGCGAUUGGAGCGGCCGAUAUCAGAUCAGGUAGUUGGUGGGGUAAAGGCCCACCAAGCCAACGAUCUGUAGCUGGUCUGAGAGGACGACCAGACACACUGGAACUGAGACACGCUCCAGACUCCUACGGGAGGCAGCAGUGGGGAAUUUUGGACAAUGGGCGAAAGCCUGAUCCAGCCAUUCCGCGUGCAGGAUGAAGGCCCUCGGGUUGUAAACUGCUUUUGUACAGAACGAAAAGGUUUCUACUAAUACUAGGAGCUCAUGACGGUACUGUAAGAAUAAGCACCGGCUAACUACGUGCCAGCCGCCGCCGUAA